rnacentral:rRNA from 1 species
GAGUUUGAUCAUGGCUCAGAACGAACGCUGGCGGCAGGCCUAAGACAUGCAAGUCGUACGAGAACGGCCCUUCGGGGCUUAGUAGAGUGGCGAACGGGUUAGUAACGCGUGGGAACAUACAUAGCACAGGGGGAUAACCAUUGGAAACGAUGGCUAAUACCGCAUACGCCCUAUGGGGGAAAGAUUUAUCGGUGUUGGAUUGGCCCGCGUUAGAUUAGCUAGUUGGUGGGGUAAUGGCUCACCAAGGCAACGAUUUAUAGCUGGUUUGAGAGGAUGAUCAGCAACACUGGAACUGAGACACGGUCCAGACUCCUACGGGAGGCAGCAGUCGGGAAUAUUGUGCAAUGGGGGCAACCCUGACACAGCCAUGCCGCGUGAGUGAAGAAGGCCUUAGGGUUGUAAAACUCUUUCAGAUGUGAGGAUGAUGACGAUAGCAUCACAAGAAGCUCCGGCUAACUUCGUGCCAGCAGCCGCGGUAAUACGAAGGGAGCAAGCGUUGUUCGGAAUUACUGGGCGUAAAGGGCGUGUAGGCGGAUUAUCAAGUUA